UCCGGCGUAGCUCAGUGGUAGAGCGGUUGGCUGUUAACCAAUAGGUCACUGGUUCGAGCCCAGUCGCCGGAGCCA
rnacentral:tRNA from 1 species